rnacentral:rRNA from 1 species
GAUGAACGCUAGCGAUAGGCUUAACACAUGCAAGUCGAGGGGCAGCAUGGUCUUAGCUUGCUAAGGCUGAUGGCGACCGGCGCACGGGUGCGUAACGCGUAUGCAACUUGCCUCACAGAGGGGGAUAACCCGUCGAAAGACGGACUAAUACCGCGUACACUCUAUGUUGGGCAUCCAAUGUAGAGGAAAUGAAAUUCGCUGUGAGAUAGGCAUGCGUCCCAUUAGCUAGUUGGUGAGGUAACGGCUCACCAAGGCGACGAUGGGUAGGGGAACUGAGAGGUUGAACCCCCGCACGGGUACUGGGACACGGACCAGACUCCUACGGGAGGCAGCAGUGAGGAAUAUUGGUCAAUGGGCGAGAGCCUGAACCAGCCAAGUCGCGUGAAGGAUGACUGUCUUAUGGAUUGUAAACUUCUUUUAUGCGGGAAUAACAAGAGUCACGUGUGGCUCCCUGCAUGUACCGUAUGAAUAAGCAUCGGCUAACUCCGUG